UAGUUGAAAUGGCUUUCCCUCCAGAGUGGAUCCUGAGUACGGCGGAACACGUGAAAUUCCGUCGGAAUCCGGGAGGACCAUCUCCCAAGGCUAAAUACUCCCUAGUGACCGAUAGUGAACCAGUACCGUGAGGGAAAGGUGAAAAGCACCCCGGAAGGGGAGUGAAACAGUUCCUGAAACCGUGUGCCUACAAGUAGUUAGAGCCCGUUAAUGGGUGAUAGCGUGCCUUUUGUAGAAUGAACCGGCGAGUUACGAUUUGUUGCAAGGUUAAGCGGAAAAAGCGGAGCCGUAGCGAAAGCGAGUCUGAAUAGGGCGCAUAAGUAACAGGUCGUAGACCCGAAACCAGGUGAUCUACCCAUGUCCAGGAUGAAGGUAAGGUAAUACUUACUGGAGGUCCGAACCCACGCACGUUGAAAAGUGCGGGGAUGAGGUGUGGGUAGCGGAGAAAUUCCAAUCGAACUUGGAGAUAGCUGGUUCUCUCCGAAAUAGCUUUAGGGCUAGCCUCGAGGUAAAGAGUCAUGGAGGUAGAGCACUGUUUGGACUAGGGGCCCUUCUCGGGUUACCGAAUUCAGAUAAACUCCGAAUGCCAUGUACUUAUACUCGGGAGUCAGACUGCGAGUGAUAAGAUCCGUAGUCGAAAGGGAAACAGCCCAGACCACCAGUUAAGGUCCCCAAAUAUAUGUUAAGUGGAAAAGGAUGUGGGGUUGCUUAGACAACCAGGAUGUUGGCUUAGAAGCAGCCACCAUUGAAAGAGUGCGUAAUAGCUCACUGGUCGAGUGACCCCGCGCCGAAAAUGUACCGGGGCUAAACAUAUUACCGAAACUGUGGAUGAACCUCUUUAGAGGUUCGUGGUAGGAGAGCGUUCUAAGGGCGGUGAAGUCAGACCGGAAGGACUGGUGGAGCGCUUAGAAGUGAGAAUGCCGGUAUGAGUAGCGAAAGAAGGGUGAGAAUCCCUUCCACCGAAUAUCUAAGGUUUCCUGAGGAAGGCUCGUCCGCUCAGGGUUAGUCGGGACCUAAGCCGAGGCCGAUAGGCGUAGGCGAUGGACAACAGGUAGAGAUUCCUGUACCAGUGCUAAUUGUUUAACCGAUGGGGUGACACAGAAGGAUAGGGAAUCGCACGAAUGGAAAUGUGCGUCCAAGCAGUGAGUGUGAG
rnacentral:rRNA from 1 species